rnacentral:rRNA from 1 species
UUGCAAUUAUUGUUCUUCAACGAGGAAUGCCUAGUAAGCGUGAGUCAUCAUCUCGCGUUGAUUACGUCCCUGCCCUUUGUACACACCGCCCGUCGCUCCUACCGAUUGAAUGUGCUGGUGAAGACUUCGGAUUGGCUGUUUGGUUAGGUUCCCUAGCCUUACCGCUGAGAAGUUGUUUAAACCCUCCCAUUUAGAGGAAGGAGAAGUCGUAACAAGGUUUCCGUAGGUGAACCUGCGGAAGGAUCAUUGAAUUCCAUUGAAUCAACACCCGCGAAUGAACCAAGUACCCCCCUCGCGCCACUCGACGCGAGCGGCUUGCCCUCGGGCGUGUCGGACUCUUGGGAGUCGGUAAACCAUCCACGCACCCAACAAAAUUGUCUGUCUGAAGCUAACUCAACACGGCAUCGCUGGUUGACUAACAAUGACAACUCUCAACAACGGAUAUCUAGGCUCUCGCAACGAUGAAGAACGCAGCGAAAUGCGAUACGUAAUGUGAAUUGCAGAAUUCCGUGAAUCAUCGAAUCUUUGAACGCAUAUUGCGGUCGAGGCUUCGGCCGAGACCAUGCCUGCCUCAGCGUCUUUGAAAAACCCUCAUUCCUCCUCGGAGCGCAAUGGACCUGGCGUCCCCACCUCACCGUGGGCUCGCUGAAAUGCGGAGAAUCACGCUCGGGCCUGAUACGGCAGCAGCAAGGUAGGUGGCUCGGUCACUCCGGCUGGAUGCUCAGGGCACGCGGCACGAUUCCUUCAGAAAYYCGUUUUCGUUCGAGACCUGAGAUCAGACAA